rnacentral:misc_RNA from 1 species
CAGAAAUCCAGGGUGCCAACUUAUGUUUUAGUUUGUAUGAUUGCAAGUCUACUUGGCCUAAAGGGAGAGUUACUGUAACAACAUUGCUAUUGCCAAGCAUGCCAAAGUAGUACCUCUGAAGUUAUUAGAUUAAUUGAAUCUCCAUUGUGCUAUCAUUCCAAAUAAUCUACUCUUGUUUGCUUCUCCUUCUUCCACUUGUCCCCUUGACUUUGACCACCUUAGAUUAUUCAUUUCUGAUAGAAUUCAGAUUGUAUUCUGGCAACAAAUGCAUAUUUUAAAUGCUUUCGUAUGAAAUUCAUUAAUGGUUUUCACCUUUCCUUUGCGUCAUAACUUGGAAAUUUAAACAAAGUAUGCAUUGUAUGCAUGUGAGAGUUUAAAUGCGAGUCUCCUUUCUUCCAACCCCAUCUCAGACUCCAAUUGGUAUGCCUACUUGUAAAUUGUGUCUGCAGAGUGUUUUGGAUGGAUACAAUG